GGGGAAUAUUGGACAAUGGGCGCAAGCCUGAUCCAGCCAUGCCGCGUGUGUGAAGAAGGCCUUCGGGUUGUAAAGCACUUUUGUACGGGAAGCAAAGCAUCCGGUUAAUACCCGGGAUGAUAAUGACAGUAACGGGAGAAUAAGCCCCGGCUAACUCCGUGCCAGCAGCCGCGGUAAUACGGAGGGGACUAGCGUUGUUCGGAAUUACUGGGCGUAAAGCGCGCGUAGGCGGAUUAGUCAGUCAGAGGUGAAAUCCCAGGGCUCAACCCUGGAACUGCCUUUGAUACUGCUAGUCUUGAGUUCGAGAGAGGUGAGUGGAAUUCCGAGUGUAGAGGUGAAAUUCGUAGAUAUUCGGAGGAACACCAGUGGCGAAGGCGGCUCACUGGCUCGAUACUGACGCUGAGGUGCGAAAGCGUGGGGAGCAA
rnacentral:rRNA from 1 species